rnacentral:rRNA from 1 species
CGCAAGGGUGAGUAACACGUGGGUAAUCUACCUUAGAGACUGGGAUAACAGUUGGAAACGACUGCUAAUACCGGAUGAUAUAUAAGAAGAUACGUUUUCUUAUAUUAAAAGGAGCCUUUAAAGCUUCACUUUAAGAUGAGCCUGCGGCGUAUUAGCUAGUUGGUGGGGUAAAGGCCUACCAAGGCAACGAUGCGUAGCCGACCUGAGAGGGUGAUCGGCCACACUGGGACUGAGACACGGCCCAGACUCCUACGGAAGGCAGCAG